CUCUGUUGCUGCAUUACAUACCGUUCUUUGCCAUGUGGCUUUGAGUCGAAGAAGAUCCCCUGAGUUUGAUGGUGCAGCGGAAAUAAAGGCUCUGAUGAGCAAGCGGCUUUGGUGGUAUGAUCUGUAGCAUCAGCAUCUGAAUGAUAUGCUGCGUCCUUGAAGAGGAAACAGAAUGAAAAAGUGCAAGGAGAGCUUUCUGACCCCAAGGCAAACCUCUCAUGGGGACGGAGCUCAGGCACCAAGCCCUUCCCCCCAUACUUCCUGCUGUGCCAGUUGAGGGAAUUCUGCAGCCUAAAACUUCUGUCAGCAUGGCAGCUAUACUAUCUCUGAGAUAUGAUCAGUGAAUAUAAUCAAUUUGGUUUACCAGGCCACAGGUUCCUGACUGAGUCUUCCUCCUGUCACCGCUCAAGGCUCCUACCGCUACUGUCCAGGAUUAAACAGAGUUAACUUCCAGGGAUCAUGAUUUGUCAGAGUCUCAUUAUACCCAGAAUUCCCAGACUGUAUGCUGAGAUCCUACCCAUCAGGAGUUCACCACCUUGAGGAAAGCUGGAUUGAACCAACCACACCACCAGCCUGUAC